rnacentral:snoRNA from 1 species
AAUCCAUGGUGAGGGCAAUCACGUUCAUACUCCUUAAAACGUUCCCAAGCUUCAUAGAAAGAUUCAGUUGAUCCUUGUUGAAAGGUUGAGAUCUUCGUUGUCAAAUU